rnacentral:rRNA from 1 species
GACGAACGCUGGCGGCGUGCUUAACACAUGCAAGUCGAACGGAAAGGCCCUGCUUUUGUGGGGUGCUCGAGUGGCGAACGGGUGAGUAACACGUGAGUAACCUGCCCUUGACUUUGGGAUAACUUCAGGAAACUGGGGCUACUACCGUAUAGGAGCUCCUGCUGCAUGGUGGGGGUUGGAACGUUUCGGCGGUUGGGGAUGGACGCGCGGCUUAUCAGCUUGUUGGUGGGGUAGUGGCUUACCAAGGCUUUGACGGGUAGCCGGCCUGUGAGGGUGACCGGCCACAUUGGGACUGAGAGACGGCCCAGACGCCUACGGGAGGCAGCAGUGGGGAAUAUUGCACAAUGGGCGGAAGCCUGAUGCAGCAACGCCGCGUGCGGGAUGACGGCCUUCGGGUUGUAAACCGCUGUCGCCUGUGACGAAGCGUGAGUGACGGUAAUGGGUAAAGAAGCACCGGCUAACUACGUG